UACAGAGGUCUCAAGCGUUGUUCGGAUUCAUUGGGCGUAAAGGGUGCGUAGGCGGCGCGGUAAGUCGGGUGUGAAAUUUCGGAGCUUAACUCCGAAACUGCAUUUGAUACUGCGGUGCUUGAGGACUGGAGAGGAGACUGGAAUUCACGGUGUAGCAGUGAAAUGCGUAGAUAUCGUGAGGAAGAUCAGUGGCGAAGGCGGGUCACUGGACCGGUACUGACGCUGAGGCGCGAAAGCGUGGGGAGCAAACGGG
rnacentral:rRNA from 1 species